ensembl:lncRNA
AUGGUAUUCGUCUUUCAAGACAAGAGUCGUUUCACGACCCCUCGGAUGCGCUUGAGCCCCCAUAAAAAUAAAAGGGAUUUCCCCCGACGGGGACGAUUUAGGAGGGACGAUUAUUUUGUUGAGCGAUCUCGUGACUUCCCGUACGAAGUCAACGGACACGAAGAAUCAUCCAUAGGUUACAGUAACAGAGUACACAAUGAAACUCGAUCGGAGAUUAAUGCAAAUCCCUUCUCUCGUCCGUCACGUGAUCAACGCCCUUUAAAUCAGGGGAGAUUUAAACAGACACGAAAGAGAGUAACUUUUGGGGUUAAUAGGAUUAUUUACCCCACAGAAGAGAAUGGAUUUAUGGAGCAGAGAAACAGUAACACACGAUAUUUUCCUCAUAACGGGGAGAAAAACGGGAGACGUGAAUUUUCUGCACAAAGAAAUGUACAGUUUGCACAAAAUUAUUCUCAUCAGAAAAAAAGAAUGGGGCAGAAAACUCAUUCUAACACACAGAAAAAAUCAAAAUACUCUCCUGCUUCUCCCACAUUUCGGAAUGUGAUCAAAAAUAUGUAUCAUCUGAUCCGAUCGGUCCAUCACCUCAGUAACAUCGACACACGUGUCGAGAAUAAUCAACCUGUCACUUUGAAGAGAUUAACUGAAUUACUGAAGAGCGUGAUAAAACCCUUUGCCCCCACAAUGUCCACAAAAGAAAUGCUGGAGGGCAAUGCAAGGAAUUGGGCAUUCACGACACAGUUGGUGUUACAGCAACACUAUGAGGACAUUAUACAGCACACAUUAGGGAUUUUACGAGGAGAAACACAGAGAACGGACUGGUUACAUGCCUUUGAGAUUGCUGUUAAAUGGGCUAUGCAAGGAAUUGGGCAUUCACGACACAGUUGGUGUUACAGCAACACUAUGAGGACAUUAUACAGCACACAUUAGGGAUUUUUACGAGGAGAAACACAGAGAACGGACUGGUUACAUGCCUUUGAGAUUGCUGUUAAAUGGGCUAUGCGAAAUUUCGGCAAGAGGAUCUCCCAGAGGGCAAUUCAGCAGGCCGAAACUUUGGUCCUGACCGAAUUGCGCUCUGGGACUCCCUCUGGGUCAAAAAGGACCAUCAGCUUCUGGGGCAGAUAACAACAGAACAUUUGCUCAGGUGGUCAGUGGUGUAACUCCAGCCC